GUUGGGCCAAGUAAUUGUUUAGAUACACUUGAUUAAAAAGCUUUGGGCUUUAUAUUGAGAGUUUAUGUAAAAAUGUAAAAUAAGUAGGACUAUAUAAUAAAAUUUUUUUAGCAAAAUCUCAGGGUGGGGAAGUGACCUCCCUAGUACAACACUGCAUCCGCCAAUGGCUGUCGGCGUCUUCUUGAUAUGUUUAAAUCCUCAUGGUUCUUGUAUGUGAUUAAUCAUUGAUCGCAACCAUGGAAAUUUAUAAGGUCAAGGAUGACACUUUUCGUCAAAAUAGAACCAAUGUGAAGUCGAGUAAGCGGAUCAAAACUAUCCUCAGAAAACUGCGUCAUGAGAUCACAAGUGUUUUUGUGGGCUAAUGUAAUCUAGCAGCUAUUUGUGAUGCACGAUGGAAAGCAAUGAUUUUGUAGGAUAUCCUGCGCAGAAUUGGGACAAAGGCUGGACACUUGAUGAACGUUUUGACUCCUUGAUAGUACUUCGUGGAGCAAAAUUGGUUGAUGUUACCAAAGUCGUUUUACAGAUUCUUAAACCAAAUGACGCUGCUCCUUCUUGAGGCUAAGUUUUACUCGUACUUCUUUUUUAUAUGUUCAUCCGCACACAUUUCAAUGGUUAUACCUGUUGUCUGUUAGCUGGUAGAUUACCUCAAAUACCGUUAGCACCAAGCUGAUUUUUUUCUGACAUAAACAGAUAGUGAAUAAAAUUUUUGUGAAAUUAGAAAACUAUAUCAAGAGAGUCAUUUAUGUUAUUAUAAAAUAAGCAUAAUAAUAUUAUAUAAUAAACUAAAAAUGCACU